AUUGAACGCUGGCGGCAGGCCUAAUACAUGCAAGUCGAGCGAGCGGCGGACGGGUGAGUAAUGUAUGGGGACUGCCCGAUAGAGGGGGAUAACUACUGGAAACGGUGGCUAAUACCGCAUACUAUCGGAUAACCCAUAUGGGAUUAGCUAGUAGGUGGGGGAAAGGCUCACCUAGGCGACGAUCUCUAGCUGGUCGGAGAGGAUGAUGAGCAACAGUGGGACUGAGAAACGGCCCGGAUUCCUACGGAGGAAGCAGUGGGGAAUAUUGGCAAAUGGGCGAAAGCCGGCUGCAGCACUGCCGCGUGUAUGAAGAAGGCCUUAGGGUUGUAAAGUACUUUCAGCGGGGAGGCGUUACCCACAGAAGAAGCACCGGCUAACUACGUGCCAGCCGCCGCGGUAAUAC
rnacentral:rRNA from 1 species